UGGCCACCCAUGGACCAGGAAGUGAACUCCCACCAGACAGUACAUCUGCUGGUACUUUGACCUUGGACUUCCCAAGCCUCCUGAACUAUCCUUUGCUCAAAGAGAAAAGCCAGAUGCCAUGUUGUGAGCCGUCAUAUGGAGAGACCCCUGUGAUAUCCUGGAGAGAGUAAAGAGAACAGGCUGCUGCUGAAAAGCCUGUGACCAAGAAGGAAUUUCAGGGUGCAAAGUGAUGGUGAAAUACUACUUAAUCUAAUACUCUUCUCACAAUAUACUACGUAAAAAUGAAAAUGCAAGAACUGUGAUGUGUUACCCAAAAGUCCAACCUGAUAAACCAGUAGAGGCAAAGAGACUCCAAAAUUGGAUCUUCUGGUUGGGCUGACUGACAAUGCUGAAUACUCCUGAAAUUGCCAGCUUGCUAGGUAAUAAAACUAAAAGAAUGCUGCACAUGGUCAGGCUGACCAAAAAGAUUGAUGGUGAGGAACCACAUAUGCAUGCAAGAUUCUCCAAGAUGGAGGAAGGGAAAAGAAUUGAUGUUUCGAUGUUGGUGACAAUGCCUCUGAAUUCUCCCACCGCUCUUGGGAAUGUCACACACAAAGGACCUCACACUACUACUAUGUGACAGCAACUAGAUGGUGAGCAAGUGAAAUCAGUUCAAAGCCUGGUUGGAGGAAGGCACCAUUAUUCCCCUCCUCUUGCCUUCUCUUCUGCUAAUAUCCCAAAUCCUAUACUCCAUCAAUGCAGAAGACGCUCUGUGGCAUAUGGGGCCCUGAAUGCAGAGGACAGUCUCUUUGUUCUGGAAUGAUUGUAAGGCCUCAUGCAA